rnacentral:rRNA from 1 species
UCAGACGAUGCGUCAUGCAUAUCAAUAAGCGGAGGAAAAGAAACUAACAAGGAUUCCCUUAGUAACGGCGAGUGAAGCGGGAAGAGCUCAAAUUUGAAAUCUUCAAGGUUUUACCUUGACGAAUUGUAGUUUAAAGAAGUGUUUUCUGUUGAAGUUUUGGUAAAAGUUCUUUGGAAUAGGACAUCAUAGAGGGUGAGAAUCCCGUAUUUGACCAUUAUUUUCAGCUGUGUGAUACACUUUCAAAGAGUCGGAUUGUUUGGGAAUGCAGUCCAAAAUGGGUGGUAAAUUUCAUCUAAAGCUAAAUAUUGGCGAGAGACCGAUAGCGAACAAGUACCGUGAGGGAAAGAUGAAAAGAACUUUGAAAAGAGAGUUAAACAGUACGUGAAAUUGUCAAAAGGGAAGCGUUUGACACCAGUGUUGUUUUCUCGAAAAUCAAUUAAAAAGAGUUGGAUUUUGUGUUGUAUUGACCUUAACAGCUUGCUUCACUCUUUUCCUGCUUUUUUUAAUGCACUUUUCGUUUAACAAGUCAACAUCAGUUUCUUUUGUUGUAAAAGGGUCAUUGGAAGGUGGCUUUCUCUUCGGAGAAAGUGUUUAUAGCCUUUGAUCUCUGCAAUCGGAGAGACUGAGGUCUGCAGCGUAGAUCCUUCGGGGUUAGAUACAUUUGUGCUAAGCUACAGCUUUUCAUAGACAACUUGUUGACUAUGUUUAGUCUUGUAACUUACCCGCUUAUGCUAUUUUACCUACGCUUAGGAUGUUGAUAUGCAUGACUGAUAU